rnacentral:rRNA from 1 species
UUAUUAUGAGAGUUUGAUCCUGGCUCAGGACGAACGCUGGCGGCGUGCCUAAUACAUGCAAGUCGAACGCUUCUUUCCUCCCGAGUGCUUGCACUCAAUUGGAAAGAGGAGUGGCGGACGGGUGAGUAACACGUGGGUAACCUACCCAUCAGAGGGGGAUAACACUUGGAAACAGGUGCUAAUACCGCAUAACAGUUUAUGCCGCAUGGCAUAAGAGUGAAAG